GACGAACGCUGGCGGCGGGCUUAACACAUGCAAGUCGAACGGAAAGGCCCUGCUUUUGUGCGGUGCUCGAGUGGCGAACGGGUGAGGAACACGUGAGUAACCUGCCCUUGACUUUGGGAUAACUUCACGAAACUGGGGCUAAUACCGUAUAGGAGCUCCUGCUGCAGUGUGAGGGGUGGAAAGUUUCGGCGGUUGGGGCUGGACUCGCGGCUGAUCAGCUUGUUGGUUGGGUAGUUGCUUACCAAGGAUUUGACGGGUAGCCGGCCUGAGAGGGUGACCGGCCACAUUGGGACUGAGAUACGGACCAGAGUCCUACGGGAGGCAGUAGUGGGGAAUAUUGCACAAUGGGCGGAAGCCUGAUGCGGCAGCGCCGCGGGCGGGAUGCCGGCCUUCGGGUUGUAAACCGCUUUAGCCUGUGACGCAGCGUGAGUGACGGUAAUGGGUAAAGAAGCACCGGCUAACUACGUG
rnacentral:rRNA from 1 species